CGAUUAGCAGUGAGGAAUAUUGGUCAAUGGGCGCAAGCCUGAACCAGCCAUCCCGCGUGCAGGAUGACGGCCCUAUGGGUUGUAAACUGCUUUUAUACACCAAGAAAAACACCCACGUGUGGGUGCCCGACGGUA
rnacentral:rRNA from 1 species